AUCUUUUUGUAGUUCGUGGGCAUGAUGAUCGGGUGUCCAUGUGCACGUGUGAGAUGUGCAACCCUCUGUACCUUCUUAAAAUCUCAGCACAUUACCUGACUUGAAA